UGGGGAAUAUUGGACAAUGGGCGAAAGCCUGAUCCAGCCAUGCCGCGUGUGUGAAGAAGGUCUUCGGAUUGUAAAGCACUUUAAGUUGGGAGGAAGGGCAGUUACCUAAUACGUGAUUGUUUUGACGUUACCGACAGAAUAAGCACCGGCUAACUCUGUGCCAGCAGCCGCGGUAAUACAGAGGGUGCAAGCGUUAAUCGGAAUUACUGGGCGUAAAGCGCGCGUAGGUGGUUAGUUAAGUUGGAUGUGAAAUCCCCGGGCUCAACCUGGGAACUGCAUUCAAAACUGACUGACUAGAGUAUGGUAGAGGGUGGUGGAAUUUCCUGUGUAGCGGUGAAAUGCGUAGAUAUAGGAAGGAACACCAGUGGCGAAGGCGACCACCUGGACUGAUACUGACACUGAGGUGCGAAAGCGUGGGGAGCAAACAGGAUUAGAUACCCCGGUAGUCCCUGAGCGGGCUGGCAAGGCGCAU
rnacentral:rRNA from 1 species